GACCUAUAAUACGAGCAAUCCCAUCCCCCACUUGAACUACGCGACCGAUAUUCUCAAUCCCUACUUUCCUAUUAUAUUGUUCAAUACGUUCGCGGAGAAUUUUAUUAAUUUCGUCGACUCGAAGGGUUGCCAUUAGUGUUUCUUGAAUCUUUUUUUUUCGGAAGCAAGGGGAAAAAUAAUGCCUAAAUUCUAAACGAAAGUAGAAGUUCAAAAUCGAAUAAAUUUCAUUAUCUCUUCCAUUCUAUGGCCCCGAGAAUGCCAAUAUUAGCACGAAUCGUACGAAAAUGUAACUCGGUAUUCAAACAACUAUUCAGAGUUCCUAGAGCUCCUUGUACGGCUUGUUGGAAAACCCGUUGUCGAACCUGAUUCAUGGCCCUUUGUUUUUCAAAAUAAAGGGUUUCGUUUUUAGACUUUUCUAAUUGUUCCAAACUAAUAGAAGUAGCAUUAAUCAAAUUUGCUUUCUCUCGUUCUAUUUCAGAGUAUCCAUUCAUUCGAUACUCAUCUGCUUCUAGUUCGACUUUCUGUAAUCGAAUCCGAGCUUUUUCGAGUUGUUCAAGGGUCCCUCUACGCAAUUCUUCCGAAUUUCGAAUAGUACUUAAGAUCCUCUGUUUUCGAUUAUCUAAUAAAUCUUUUAAUGAAAGUAGAUUAUCUUGCUAUUAAGUUUACAAUUUUUAUGAUCUCUUCCCGAACCAAACAUGAAUCUUUCGAUUCAUUUGGCUCUCCCGCUCCUUUUUUUCUCUUUUGCUAUGUAUUAUGGCUAUUUCCAUAUCUUUUUUUUAUGUAAUGAGCCUAUCCUCUAUCCUCUCUUUUCUGUUUGUAUUUCUAUAUACCCAAACUUAUAUAAGACUAGAUGAAUAUUAAGAGGACUCUUCCAACUAGAUAAAAAUCUGUCAUGGUCAGCAAAGUUGUUUCUUUAUUUGUGUUUGCUCUGUUAGUUAAUAAUUUCAAUUUCAUUAAGAAAAACAAACUAAAUAAAUGGAAAAUCAAAAUUGAUACAAUUCCUUUUAUUUUUUCUUCAAAUCCAAAAAAUUUCUCUUUUUUUUUUAUACAUAGGUCGUCGAUUCGGCAUUGGAAAAAGGGCUGGGCCCUUCUAGUAAAUAGUUCAAACUAUUUUAUCGAUAUGAGUGUUCUAUAUCAGAUAAAUUCCACACUAGCUAUUUCCCGUUUAAAGAAUUUCGAGACUAAUACUAAUGUAGUUGUAGAAAGAGUACCCCUUUUUGCCCAGACUUCAAGCAGUUUAGCUUUAACCGUGUUAAUGGUCUCACAUUAUUGGUCUAUAGAGAAUCAAAGUAAAUUUACCAAUGAGUCGCGAAAUGCUACGGUUCUUCCAUAUGAUUUCUGAAGUUAUUCAGAAGUAAUUCGUCGAGAUCGUGCACCUUUUCUUAUUUAUCCAAAAAAAUACUCAAAAAUAUUCUAAAGUGCAGCCGGAUAGAUCCAAUCUAUUCUUGAAAUAGACAACUCGCACACACUCCCUUUCCAAAAAAAAUCAAUACACCAACCACUACAGUUAGAUUUAUUAGAUUUGUUGCUAAAAUAUCGUAAUUAUUCUUGAUUAUUUAAAUUAGGAUUAAUUCGGUUAAUCAGCCUAACCAAGAUCGAUUGUUGGAUCACAGCAAUUAUUUUUAUUUAGAGUUUUAUUCUCAGAUUCUAUCUGAGGGGUUUGCGAUCGUUGUAGAAAUCCCACUUUCGCUAGGGCAACCAUCUUGUUUGGAAGAAAAAGAAAUACCAAAGUUUCAAAAUUUACAAUCUAUUCAUUCAAUAUUUCCCUUUUUAGAAGACAAAUUUUUGCAUUUACAUUAUCUAUCACAUAUAGAAAUACCCUAUCCUAUCCAUUUAGAAAUCCUGGUUCAACUCCUUGAAUACCGGAUUCAAGAUGUUCCAUCUUUGCAUUUAUUGCGAUUCUUUCUCAACUAUUAUUCGAAUUGGAAUAGUCUUAUUACUUCAAUGAAAUCUUAUUUUCUUUUUAAAAAAGAAAAUAAAAGACUAUUUCGAUUCCUAUAUAACUCUUAUGUAUCAGAAUAUGAAUUUUUCUUAUUGUUUCUUCGUAAACAAUCUUCUUGCUUAUGAUUAACAUCUUCUGGAACCUUUCUGGAACGAGUCCACUUUUCUGGGAAGAUGGAACAUUUUUGGGUAAUGUACCCAGGUUUUUUUCGGAAAACCAUAUGGUUCUUUAUGGAUCCUCUUAUACAUUAUGUUCGAUAUCAAGGAAAGGCAAUUCUUGCAUCAAAAGGAACUCUUCUUUUGAAGAAGAAAUGGAAAUCUUACCUUGUCAAUUUCUCGCAAUAUUUUUUCUCUUUUUGGACUCAACCACAAAGGAUUCGCCUAAACCAAUUAACAAACUCUUGCUUCGAUUUCUUGGGGUACCUUCCAAGUGUACCAAUAAAUACUUUGUUAGUAAGGAAUCAAAUGCUGGAGAAUUCUUUUCUAAUAGAUACUCGAAUGAAAAAAUUCGAUACCACAGUCCCUGCUACUUCCCUCGUUGGAUCCUUAUCAAAAGCUCAAUUUUGUACUGGAUCAGGGCAUCCUAUUAGUAAACCCGUUUGGACCGAUUUAUCAGAUUGGGAUAUUCUUGAUCGUUUUGGUCAGAUUUGUAGAAAUCUUUUUCAUUAUCAUAGUGGAUCUUCGAAAAAACGGAUUUUGUAUCGACUAAAAUAUAUACUUCGACUUUCAUGUGCUAGAACUUUAGCUCGUAAACAUAAAAGUACGGUACGAACUUUUAUGCAACGAUUGGGUUUGGUAUUUUUAGAAGAAUUUUUUACGGAAGAAGAGCAAGUUUUUUGUUUGAUGUUCACCAAAACAACUCGCUUUUCUUUCAAUGGAUCACACAGUGAGCGUAUUUGGUAUUUGGAUAUUAUCCGUAUCAAUGACCUGGUGAAUCCUCUUACUCUUAAUUAAUUUUUAGACAAAACUAAUAAACUAGAAAAGAUCGAUAUCAAGAUAAAACUUGCACAUUUUCCAUUCUGAAAUGUUCCAUAGUAGGUGAAUCAAUUUACUAAUUAAAUAAAAAAAUUAGUGGUCUUCCUCUUCGGAAUAGAAAUUGGCUAUUUCUACAUAGGGAAAGUCGUGUGCAAUGAAAAAUGCAAGCACGAUUUGGGGAGGGGUUUUUUUUAUUGUAACAAGGAAGAAUUAUCUACUCCAUCCGACUAGUUCCGGGUUCGAGUCCCGGGCAACCCAUAUGCAAAAUAGAAAAGAGUAAUCUGAGUUUUGAAUUUUUACUCACUUCAUUUCCAAAAUUUUGGGAUUUGGUAAAUGGAGUUAUAUGGAAAUCCAAUCGUUGAGGCCGGUUUGGUUGACAUUGGUAUAUAGGCUAUGUUAUACUGUUAAAUAACAAGCCUUCUAUUAUCUAUUUUCUUUCUAGUUAAUACGUGUGCUUGGGAGUCCUUGCAAUUUGAAUAAACCAAGAUCUUACCAUGACUGCAAUUUUAGAGAGACGUGAAAGUACAAGCCUGUGGGGUCGCUUCUGCAACUGGAUAACUAGCACCGAAAACCGUCUUUACAUCGGAUGGUUCGGUGUAAAGACGGUAUUUUGAAAUAAAGAAUUCCACUCCGGCUUUGUUUGUUACGUCAGAAUCAGAAGAAACUAAUUCUGUAUGGAGAAACAAAAUAUCUCUCAUUUCCGACGCGAAUAGAUUUUUUUUUGAAUUUCAAAAUAAAGGUUCUUGUCUUGUGGGGAACGAUGGACAAAUUUUUGGAAUCCGGUACCAACAGGUAUAAUCCCCCCCAGAACUACGUUUUCUUUCAGGCCUUUCAACCAAUCAAUACGACCUCGUAGGGCAGCUUUUGCUAAAACUCGAGCAGUUUCUUGAAAACUUGCUUCAGAUAUGAAACUUUGGGUAUUCAGGGAAGCCCUUGUUAUUCCCAAUAAGAUUGCCCGAUAAUAAAUCGAUUCAUCUAAAGCCCGCCCUGCUCGUUCCGCUCGCAAUAGUCCUAUUAAUUCCCCAGGUAAAAAAACAUUAGACAUUCCAUCUUCGGAAACCCUUACUUUUGAUGUUACUUGGCGUAUAAUAAUCUCUAUAUGUCUAUUAUGGAUCUGUACCCCUUGGGAUCGAUAAACCUUUUGUAUCUUAUUAACCAAAGAGAUACGACUUUGGGCUAUGGUUAGCUCAGCUCCAAUCAAGAAUCCCCAGGGAACCCCAAGAAUUCUUGGUAUACGUUCGUUCCAAUCCUCAAUUCUCCUUUCGAGAUUCGGCGAUAGUGAAUCAAUUGAACGCGCUUCGAAGAUUUGUUCUACUUUUGGAAGACCUUGCGUUAUAUCACUAGAUCUCGAUUUUUCAUAUAUAAACGUAACUAACCUAUCUCCUUUGUAAAGGAUUUUUCCAUAAUGACCAUGAACAGUUGCUCCUAUAGUGGCCAAAUAAGGCUUAGCUGCUCUUAGAACAAAGGAGUCCAUAUUAAGAAUGAAAAUUUGACCUGAUUUUUUUAUGUGCGAUUUAAAUAGACAUACAUUUUCACAAAUAAAUUGUCCAAGGUGAAUUAUUGCCGAUGUCUCUUCCCACGAGUCAUGAUGGAGAAAGUGCCAAUUCAAAUGGAAUGGCUCUAACAUGAUGUUACUGUCGAAAUUCGAAAUCCUUUUAUUUUCGUCUAUUAAAGAGUAUUUAAGUCCUUGAAGUACUUGGAAGGUUUGUUUCAAAUUUUCAAGGAACAAGUAUUUUUUUAACAAGAUCUGAUUAUGUGUUAAUAAAUAGUAAGAUGAAGAAAAAUUUGAUAUACUAGGUACAAUAGCGCCUAAGAGCCCAAAAAUAUCUCGAAUAGGAAUUCUAGGAUUCGAUUCUUUUACCGCAUUGGGAUACUUUGAAUUCUUGAAUAAACCAAUUCGAGAACAGUUGGAUGCCGACAAAAUCAUCAAAGAUGGAUUACUUCGAUUCAACAAGGUGCCAAUAGCUUCUUGAUGUUGGCUAAGUGAUUGAAUCUUCGCCUUGGAAUAAAAGGAAUUGGUAUUGUUGCGAUCUAACCUAUUAUUGGGAAUCCGUCCUACACUUGUCCUAUCAUACCUUCUUCGUGUAUACGAAGUAGUAGACUUAACUAACUCAAUUCUUAGGAAAUCGCGAAUCAGAUCAUUUGUUCUUACCUCAACAAGAGAAGCACGAGCCCCCUCUUUUUCUUCUUGUUCCCAAUUCACUACUAAGCAAGUUCGAACGAAUUGACUAUUCGUGUGAUAAAUUCUUUGAGUUAACUUGCUAUUUUCAUGAGAAAUAAAAUUGACAAGUCAAAGUUGGAGAUUAUCCUCUUCUUGCAGGAGAUCCUGCGGGAAAAGUGUUGCUAAAUUUCUCCCUUCGUCCAUUUGAUAUGCGACUGCAGGUCGAACCGAAACAAAAUACUUUUCCUUGCUUUUGAGAAUUUUUUUUCGUUGAACAUAAACCCAAUUUUUCCUUUUUUUUGAUUCCUUAGAAUCUUUUUUUUCUCUUUCUGGUAGUAUCAAACUGCCACCUAAUAUCUUAUCCGCCUCUUCAGGAAAAUGAAUAUCUCCGGAAAAGAUUUUGAGUUCUGUAUGGCUUUUUUUUCUCUUCACUCGGACCAAUCCACCUAGUCGACUUCUUGUAUUUUUUGUGAGUUGUGUAUCGACUCCAAUAAUACUAUUAUCAAGUACCUUUAGAGAUGAGGAUCUCGGCAAGAGAUGCAGUUCUUGAAGAAUGAAAAAAAACCGAUCUACUUACAUGAUUCUAUAGAAAUUGACAAAAAAGAGAUAUGGCUUAAGUGAUCGAGUCUUUCAUAUGUAUAAGUAAUGCAACUAUGAAUCAAAUGGCUGCAGAAUACAUCCCCGACCCCAUCCAAAACCUCCAGAAGGUUGCCCUCGACUCCCUUAUGCUAUUCCACCUCUUCUCCCCCGCCGUCGGUGAUGAGCCUCGCCGGAAUCGACGGUCAAAGUUGUUUCCUCCGCUCUGACUCCGGCCAGGGGCUACAUUGCAAGCAUUCAAAUUCUUAUAGGGUCUUUUAUGCAAAGUUUCAGUCCCUCCCUCUCUUUCAAAUCAGUGAAGUUCAAAAAUGUAUAGAAAAUCAUAGAAAAAUAAGAAAAAUACCAAACUUGUUGGUUUAGAAACCUUGUGAUGAAUUCUACAACUUUUAUUUUAUAAUCAUGCUAUGAAAAUGCAUAGUUUGUUCUGUACUUUAAAUACAAGUAAAGGGAUGCUUUAAUUGAAUCUUGUGAUCCAUAGCCUUGCUGCUAUUGAUUUUUGCAGCAUGUAUUACAUAUGGUUUGAGUAGCCUUGUGUAAAUUUUUGAGGCUUAGAUCAGCCCUCUAGCUAGAAUAUUUUGCUACCUUUGUUAUAUGUUAAUGAAACCUUCACAAAUUAAUUUCAAAAGCAUCUGUGCAUAUUUAUGGAUGAAAUUUCUAUCAUAACUUGAUCUUUAUAAGUAUGAUCCAUCAUAAAAAUUUGAGAAUUAGAAACCUAAUACAACUUGAGUUAUAAGUUUCAAGCUUAAAUUCAAAGGUAAUUCAUAAAUAAUAAUUAUUAUGCAUGAAAAAUUAUGAAACUUUUCUGGAAUACUAGUCUUGAGUAGUUUACGAUGUCCUUAAAUUUUGAACCCUAGUUUUAGUGUAAAACUCCAGUUAUAUUUGCAUCUUGAAAUUUCAAUGUUGAUCUUGUUUAAUUUUGUGGCUUAGUUCCUUUUAGAAUAAAAUUCCAAUAAAACUACAGUAAAUAUAUCUAAUAUCAAUCUAUGCUCAGUAAUUUUUGUAGCUCCUGUUUUGAAAUAUCUUGCUCUGUAAAAAAAUUCUUCCAUGUUAAACAUAUUGUUUAAUUAAAUGAUUUGUUCUAAUUUAUCUAUUGCACAAAAUAUUUAAAAAGAAUUAGGGUAAUGUUAUUUCAAUUAAACCCACUUAGGAUAAUUUUCAUAGUAUUAAUUUAUUUUUUUGUUUCCUAAUUUAAAAUUUGCUUAAUUAAUCGAAAGUCAGCCAUAAUUAAAUAAUAACCUAAGGUUAAUUACAAUGUUUAGUUAAUAGAAUAAAUGAAGUUGCUAAGUGUAUUUAGUUGUCGCUUAUGGUAACUAAACAUGCUACCUAAUGUAGUUAGUGGGAUGUUUAGAGUAACCCACCCUGUUGCUUAACGUAACUAGUUAGUUUAGUUGUUACUCGAUAAAUGACUGCCCAGUACAGGGUAGUUAGGUUGUUUGUUGAAAUGUAAUGUUCUUUUGUUUGGAUUGCAACUUUAUUGUGAAAUAACAUAAAAGUAUACGCAUUCCAUAACUUGUAACUCUGCAUCUCAUAUAGACUCGACCGCUCUUGCCGAUGGGGACUACGAGCUGGUUCUGGAACAAGGAGUGGAAUCUGCUGAAGAUCCCGGGAACAUCGUCGAAGGUUUAACUGAAGCUCCCAACCAAAGUUCGGAUAACUUUGACCCUACCACUCCCAAUCCUACGCAAGAAGGCAAGCCCCGGACAUAACCCAUUAUUUUCUUACACUGCCAUUUAUAUUUAUUUAUACAUUGCUAUGCAUUAAGUUUUUAAGAAUUGUUUGGAACCCUAGUUGCAUAAGAUCUUAGGAAACCAAUGUAUUGUAACCGAGUCCCUACCGUUUAGCUGCUCUGCUAAAUAGGACCGGUAAAAGUCGAGUGACUUCCUGUCACUCGCGCGAUAUAGGAGUUGUAAUGUUUACAUUCCUGUUAUCACUAUAAGGAUGACGGACGGGAGUUUUAUGAUGUAUCAUGGUUGAGAUGAUACCCCGUCUGUGUUGUUAAACUGGAUAAGGCCGCAGUGUGUGGUAGCGGUGGUUAAGCGAUUGAAAGUACUAGCCACAUGCCGUGAAAUAUGGUAAGCGGUAAACCUAGUAACCAAUCGGCCCGAGGAGUGGACAUACCCCCCACCAUAUGUAUUUGGUUCUUUUGGUUACUUGGUUCGACGUGUAGGAAUACGUGUUGCUGGGCAACUAGGAGUACGGGUUUUGUAGUCGCGCUACAGACGUACGUCCUGCACUUUGGAAGUGCGUAUGAUCCUGCAGUCGCUUGUGGUGGCCCUGAUCCACGAGUCGGAAUGAAAGGCAAACGGUUGCUUCGGAACGACCCUUUGGUGUUCCAAGCGUGUGAGUUAGGUUUACCCUUGCAAGGUUUUGAAAUUCGAUUCAGGAAUCAUCCAUUUCUCGCGGAGAUUGAGACUGCUUAAUCCCUUUGCCACAUAGAGUAACAAGAGCAACUUUGUGAUUAUCAAAGAUGAUGUUGGAUUAAAGAUUCUACCAUGUUUGAGUAGUUUUAGGUGCUUACCUAGAAUGGUUAAUUAACUAGAAUCUGAAAGCUAAAAGUUGAAAAUAAGGAUCUACUCUUUGUUGCUUUUCAGCUGAAAACUCUAACCAAAACCUGAAAAGCCUGCAUAAGUCUAGGUACAUGGCUAAGUAUACCAUGAGCGGGUAAGUCUUGCUGAGUAUUAGUAUACUCAGCCUUGCUUUUGUUGAUUUACUUCAGGUAAUCUCACUGAUGAGCCAGCUUUCAUUACACCGUGGCCCUACCCCUUGCCUGAUGGAUGGUCCGUGGAAUGGGAUCCGUCCCCGGCCAACACAGAUCCCACCGAAUGAUAUCAUGCCAGGGCUAGCAUGAUAUCCGUAAUAACGACGUGUACAGUGUUCGUCUUUUCAAACUCCGCUGCUGUAACUUAAAACUUAAACCGUUUUGUAAUAUUGUCCCUCGUUGGACACUGAUGUUACUUUUAUAUCCUUAUGUAAUAUAUCUGCCUGUGAUGUAAAGUGUAAUGGCAUUUAUAUCUCUGGACUUGCCUUCGUGCGAGGUAUCUUGUUGGAUCCUGCUUUCGCUGGUUUAUCGGGACGUUACCCGACAGACCAAGGGAUUAUAUUAUUUGAAGCAAGAGGUAGCCCUCAAGAGAGCACUCGCGUACUUGAGCCGGUGUAAUUCAGGUUGGUUCUGCCACAAAUAAAGGCAAGCCCCGGUGCAUACCCCAGUAUUUCAAUUUACUACCAUUUCACUUAUAUAUUAUAUAUCUUGCAUUACGUCUAGGAGUUGAAAUGAAACCCUAGUUGCAUAAAAUCUUAGGAAUCCAAUGUAUUGUACCCGAGUCCUUAUCGCUUAGAUGCUCUGCUAAAUAGGACCGGUAAAAGUCGGGUGAUUUCCUGUCACUCGCGCGAUAUAGGAAUUGCUUGUUUACAAUUCCGCAACCACUAUAAGGAUAAUGGACAGGGUCAUGUGCUGUAUCAUGACCUGAAGGUUUACCCUGUCUGUUUUGUUAAAAGUGGUUAAGGCCGAACCAUGUGGUAGUGGUGGCUAAGCGUUUGAAAGUACUAGCCACAUGCCGCGAAAUAUGGUAAGCGGUAAGCCUAGUACCCGAAUGGCCCGGCAAAUGGACGCGUUUCCACCACUCCACUUUUAUUUUAUGUUUACACGCACCGACGUGUGGGAGUACGUUCUGCAUGGCAGACAGGAAUACGGGUUUUGUAGUCGUGCUACAGACAUAUGUCCUGCACAAUUGGUGUGCGUAUGGUCCUGCAGUCGCUUGUGGUGGCCCCGAUCCAUAACCUUGAAUAUGAGGAAAACGGUUGCUUCGGAACGAUUUUUGGAUGUUCCAAGCGUGUGUGUUAGGUUUACCUUGCAAGGUUGAAUCCCAAUUCAGGAAUCGUCCGCCUCUCACGAUGAAUGAGACUGCUUAUCCCUUUUACCACAUCGAGUAAAAAGUGUAAUUAUUGAUGGAAUAAUCUUGAUGGAUGAUAAUCUCUAUCUUGCUUGUUUAGUAUAGGUGCUUACCUAGAAUGACUAAUCAAGCUAGAAUCUGAAAGCUAAAACUUGAAAGUAGGUUAUACUCUUAGUUGCUUUUCAGCUGAAAAUAAACCCAGAACCCUUGAAAUGCCUUCAUGAGUCUAGUUAUGGGCUAAAGUAUACCCAAUCUCGGAUAAGCCUUGCUGACUAUUAGUAUACUCAGUCUUGCUAGUUAUAUAUUUUUCAGGUAAAGCCUUUGAAGACCCUACUCUUCCCCUGUCUUGGCCCUGUGCUCUUCCAGAAGGUUGGUCCGUGGAAUGGGAUCCGUCCCUGGCCAACACUGAUGAUACCGAGUGAUGUUGUGCCCGGGCUUAGCAUGACAUCCGUCUUGACGACGUAUUGUAAAUCAUCGUGUAUGUUUUCCGCUGCUAAAAAGCAUAAAUUAAACAGUUUGUAAUGUUUUCCCUAAGUUUGAAACUUUGUACUACUUUUAUAAACUCUUAAAAAUGCUUUCAGUAUAAAAGUUUGACCAACAAAAUGUUUGGUAAAGCCGCGUUAGAUUCGUUAAGGAUUGAGCUUAGUACGUAAAGCCCUAGGGUAAUGCUUAUGAGGGAAAUAGAGGUGGCUAUAAUAUAUAUAUAUAUAACCCUAACUACCAGCAUUACUUUUCUGUCAAAACUUAAAUUCAUGCAAAACCCCAACUUUACAUUCUGUAAUGACACCUUCGACGAUGAGGUAAGAAGGUAAGGAUCCUCGGCUAACUGGGGAGUUAGCCUUCCCGUCGGUGAUGCGAACCGAACGCUGUUUCUCAAGUAGUGGCCUACUUGAGAUGCUGCCAAUGUACCAAUUUUAGUUGACUACAUUGGGAGUAUAUGGUUCGGCGCAGGGUAUGGCGAUCGCAGUUCAUACCCCCGCAUUUUUGCGGUACCCCGUGAAUACGUUGUUUCAUGAUGUAUGUUAACGUUGUCUGUACGGCGGUAAUUGUACAGAUGCUGUUUCUAUAGUGAACAGUAAUGUUUGGGGACGCUUUCAUGACAUGCUGGCAUGAAAGGUUCAGUAUAUACAUAUUGUGUUUUCUGCAGGAAUGCUAACCACGAUUCGAUAGUUUCUGAACGGUAGGAUUAUCGACUAGAUAUUACAGGGAGAGACGUAUUUAUAUUGUGCCACCGUAAUUAACCACGUAAGACCAAUAUUACUUGGCAGUUAUUUUUAUUUGUGAGGACGUGUAGAACGUGCAUACAUCAUGGCAUCUUGGAUGGAUUUGAUUGCCUUGCUUGUUACAUUGUUGUGUUAAGAUAUAUUGCUUGUAUCUGGAUGCCUGCCUAGACUUUGUGUUGUAGGAGCCAACGUAAUCUGCUAGCUUGAACCCUAUCACCAAUCUUAGCUUGACAGCCGAAUCAAACCCUUGAUCAUGCUUUGAAUCUGUUUCGGCAGAAGCACUGAGCUUUUCCUUUGAUGAUUAAACCUUGAUAAUCAUCAUCAAACCCUUCAAUCCAUCAUCCAGUGAUCCAUCUAUCCUCUCUUGAUGUUGUACCUUCUAUUAUUGGCUAUUCUGGAUACAACAUCUAAAUGUUGCACCUUCAAUUUUUGCUCAGAUAAUUUUGGAUAAAUUAAAAAGAUGUAUGACAAUAAUUACUUUUUGAAUACAAUUCUCCCGGCAAAAGUCAUGCAUCAUAACAUAUACCAUCUUUGGUCAGUGCAUGGUGUUGCAUCAACAUCGGAAUCCGUAGACUGACUAACGGGUGUAUCCAGUACAACUUCGGGUUGUCUUGGGUUUCCUAAGUCUAUCUUGUUGCUGUUGGCACUACAGGAUUGUUAUUCCUCUUUUGCGGUGGUGUUUAAUCACAUGACCAUGAUGCUGUGUCGGAACCUAAGGCCUCAGGUGCGUUGCAGCCACAUGAUUGAGCCAUUAGGAGCGCACUGGUGCCUAGGUAUAUGUGACGUAAUUCACUGCAAUCUCUUUUUAUGCAACCUUACUAGUGUCCUAACUUUUGAUCUUCGCUUAAGGAUAUAGAUCUACCUAGGUGUUAGUUACGAGAAAACGGUUGCAGGGUGCGAGUCAUGUGCGUCAUCAACUCAUGCAUCAUACUAUAUGCAUUUCUUACAUGCAUACAUUGCAAGCAUCGUCAUCCUUGCAUCAUGGUGUAUGCAUCAUUCGGUCAGCAUCAUGGUAAUUGCAUUGUGUCAUAUGCACCAUUUCGAUCGUGCAUGGAAUCCUCCAUCCUCAUGUUGCAUCAUCAUUGCAAUCAUACAUCUCAACAAUACAUCACAUUCAUGGUUAUAUAUUGAGCAUUGCACUCUAAGUUGGAGCAUUUUGUCAUUAUUCCUUGAUUGCAUCAAUAUAAAUAGGCAUGUUUUGCAAUCAACAUCAUCUAAAUCAUUCAGAUAAUAAACUCUGAGCAGAAAUGUUUCAAACAUCACUUAUCAGUCUCUGUGCUAUCCUCACUUGCUAAUCAUAAGUUUUGUGAUGAAUGUCGCCGACAUUUAUCGUUUUCAUGUUGUGAUCUUAGCUCUAUGAGAACUUGAUCACCUUUCUUUCUCUCAUCUUGUCAUACUCCAACGGUUUAUACCAUCAAUAUCAAUCUUUUCUGGUGUGAUUGUUUUCUGCUGUUUUUGGAUGAAUGAUUUGCUUCUCUUCCCUUAAGAGUCCUUCGUCCUGAAUCUCGGGACAAGAUUCUUUUUAGGUGGGAAGGCUGUGACAGUUCAUGAACUUGUAAUGCUAGACAUAUAUUUUGUUAGUGUGAAGUAUGUGCUUGUUAGUGUAAAGCUCAUGUGUGCUUAUGUGAAGCUUUUGAAAACUUAAAGUGCAAGUAAAAAGGGGUAUUUUUGUAAUUACAGAAAAACCUAAGGUUGUUUUUGUGUAAUAUCCAGGUAGAUAGGCAACUAGAUACUAAUUUCAUGUGUGCUAAUGUGUAAAAAUACAAGUAAUCAUGACAGGUCAGAAAAUUUGUAAAAAAGUGCCCAAAGUUUGAUCAAAUUUAGGUGGGCAAAGUCAAAUUUAAUUUAAAUUCAAUCUUGAUUCAAAAUGUAAUCCAAAUAGCUGUAAACUUUGAAUUUCUGAACCCAAGCCCUAAAGCAAUGUUGUAGAGUUCGAAAAACUCUACAACUUUCAUGUUGAGCACUUUUCCAUUUGACCUUUGUAGCAGUGGGAAAAUCUUAGUUUACAGAGGGGUCCCUGAACUCUUUGGAAAUUACGAACAAGUCCCCCUGACACCCCCUGCUUCGUCUUCCUCUGGCACGCGCCGCUGCCCUCUCUGCUCUGCUUCUGUCGCCGCCGCCCACCGUCGGCCCAGCUUCCCGAGCACCACCUCCUGCUAAGUUUCUUCCACGCGUCGCUCCACGGCCCUACCACCGCUCCUAAUCCCCGGUGCUGGCAUUUCUAUUGAGCGCCACGACGUGCUGGUACUGCCAGCACCACCUGAGCGCCGGCAUCUCUCUGCUCGCCGCCCCGCCGCGUGGAGGAAGCAUUAGGGACCCCCUGAACUCUAUCUUGUGGGCGCAUCAGUUCCGCAAGAGCCUCCUCGACCCAUUCCUCCCAUUAGCUAGUCAAUUCCAUGCCCCUAGACACCGGAACGCCGUCGCCAUUCUUCUGCAACCCCGGCGAGCUCGACGCCACCGUGGGUCCACUCCUACAGCCCUCCUCCGCCCCAUCCAACACCACUGGAAGUUUCCCCUUGGUACCCUGAAGCUUUUAGAGCAGAGCCUCGUCGCCCAGCCUGCCGGUGUGCCGCCGUCCAGGUCCUCCCCGUCGCCGGCCGCCUGCUCCACGCGGGUAGACCCAUACGCCACCGUAGGAAUCCAACCGAGCACCUUCCCGGGUAGCCUUCGAUCUCCUCUAGCUAUUCCCCCUCUUUUCCCUCACUAUUGCGACCCGAGCAUCACGGAUUUGGCCGGUCAAAUACCGCCGUCCCUCUUUGACCACGGCCAGGGACUCCAUUGGAGAAGACAAGGAAGUUGCAGGGGGUUUUGUGCUAAUUCUAGGGACUGUUAUGUAAACCUUAUUUGAGUUUCCUGCUGUGAACUUUGAAAAUGCAUAGAAAACAGUAGAAAAAUCAGAAAAAUACGAAACUGGUUGGGUUAGAAACCUUGUGAUGAAUUCUACAACUUUUAUUUCAUAAACAUGCCAUGAAAGUGUUUAGUUUGUUCUGUAUUUUAAAUACUAGUAAAAGGAUGCUUUAAGUAAAUCUUGGGAUCCAUAGCCUUGUUGCUGUUAGCUUUUGGAGCAUGUGUUGUAGAUAAUGUAAAUAGCUCUGUGUAAAUGUUUGAGGCCUAGAUCAGUCCUCUAGCUAGAGUAUUUGGUUACUUUUGUUAUAAGUUAAUAAAAGCUUGGCAAAUUAAUUUCAGAGGUAUCUAUGCAUAUUUAGGGAUGAAAUUUUUACUAUAGAUUAGUCUUUAUGAGAGUGAUAUAACAUAAAAAUUUGAGAAAUAGAAACCUAAUAUAACUUGAGUUAUAAAUUUUAAGCUUAGAUCCCAAGAUAAAUCAUAAAUAAUAAUUAGGAUGCAUGAAAAUUUAUGGAACUUUUCUGGAAUACUAGACUUGAGCAGUUUAUGAUGUCCUUAAGUUUUGAACCCUAAUUUUAAUAUAAAACUCUAGUUAUAGUUACACCUUGAAAUUUCAAAUCUUGAUCUUGUUUAAUUAAGUAAGUUGUUAAUUAUUGUAUAAAAAUAUCUAGAGUAAUGUUAUUUCAAUUAAACCCACUUAGGGUAAUUUUCAUAAGUAUUAAUUUAAUUUUACUAAAUUACAAUUUGCCUAAAAUUAAUUCAAGGUUAACCAUAAUUAAAUAAUAACCUAAAGUUAAUUACAAAGUUUAACUAAUAAAAUAAAUAGGAAUUGCUAAGUGUGUGUAGUGUUGCUUAGGGUAAUUAGACACACUACCUAAUAUAAUUAAAUUGGAUGUUUAGGGUAACCCCCCCUCGGUUGCCUAACGAGACUAGUUAGUUUAAUUAGUACUCGAUAAAUGACUGCCCAGUACAGGGUAGUUAGAUUAUCGACGUAAUGUAAUUUUUCUUAAGUUGUAUUGCAACUUUAUUGUGAAUUAAUAUAAAAAUAUAUAUGCAUUCCAUAACUUAUAACUUUGCAUCUCAUAUAGACUCGACCACUCUCGCUGACGGGGAUUAUCAGCUGAUCCCGGAACAAGAAGAAGUUUAUUCUGAAGACCCCGGGAAUCUUAUCGCGGAUUUCUCUGAAGCCCCGAACCAAGGUUCGGAAGAAAAUAGUUUGACUAACCCCAACCCUGCUAGCGAAGGCAAGCCCCGGACAUGACCUCUACUUUAUUACGCUGCAACCUAUAUUAUUUAUAUAUUUUAUGCAUUAGGUCCUUAGGAGUUGUUUGGAAAACUUAGUUGCAUUACUCCAGGAACCAAUGUAUUGAACACUAGAAUUUGAGUCCGAAUAGCUGCUCUGCUUAUAGGACCGGUAGAAGUCGAGUGAUUCCCUGUCACUCGCGCGAUAUAGGAAUUGUGAUGUUUACAUUCCUGUUAUCACUAUAAGGAUGACGGACGGGAAUUGUGAGGUAUCAUAGUUGAGAUGAUACCCUGUCUGUGUUGUGGAAUUUGAUAAGGUCGCAGUGUAUGGUAGCGGUGGUUAAGCAUUUGAAAGUACUAGCCACAUGCCGUGAAAUAUGGUAAGCGGUAAGCCUAGUAACCAAUCGGCCCGAGGAGUGGACAUACCCCCCACCACAUGUAUUUGCUUCUUUUGGUUACUUUGUUCGACGUGUAGGCAUACGUGUUGCUGGGCAACCAGGAGUACGGGUUUUGUAGUCGCGCUACAGACGUACGUCCUGCACUUUGAAGGUGCGUAUGACCUGGAGUCGCUUGUGGUGGCACUGAUCCACGAGUCGGAAUGAAAGGCAAACGGUUGCUUCGGAACGACCCUGUGGUGUUCCAAGCGUGUGAGUUAGGUUUACCUUGCAAGGGUUGAAUCUCGAUUCAGAAUCGUCCGCCUCUCACGAUGUAUGAGACUGCUUACCCUCUUUAUCACAUAGAGUAACAAGAGCAAUUAUGUGAUUAUCAAAGAUGAUGUUUGAAGUAAAGAUUCUACCAUGUUUGAAUAGUUAUAGGUGCUUACUUAGAAUGGUUAAUCAACUAGAACCUGAAAGCUAAAAGUUGAAAAUAAGGAUCUACUCUUUGUUGCUUUUCAGCUGAAAACCCUACCAAAGCUAAAAGCCAUCAUAAGUCUAGUUAUGGGCUAAGAUAUACCCAAUUCCAGGUAAGUCUUGCUGAGUAUUAGUAUACUCAGCCUUGCUUUUGUUGAUUUACUCCAGGUAAUCCUUCUGAUGAGCCAGCGUUCAUUACACCGUGGCCUUACCCUUUGCCUGAUGGUUGGUCUGUGGAAUGGGAUCCGUCCUCGGCCAACACAGAUUCCGCCGAGUGAUAUUAUGCCAGGGCUAGCAUAAUAUCUGUAAUGACGACGUGUAUAAUGACUACGCUUUUCAAACUCCGCUGCUUUGAUUAGAAACUUAAACUUGUUUUGUAAUAAUCUCUCCUUAAUGGGAGCUAAUGUUACUUUAUGUAUUUUUGUAAUAUAACUGCCUGUGGUGUAAAUUAAUUUGGCAUUAUAUCUCUGGACUCACCUUCGUGUGAGGUACCUUGUUGGAUCCUGAGUUCGGUGGUUUAUCGGGACGUUACCCGACAGACCAAUAGUAUUAUACCGUUUGAAGUACGAGGUAGCCUCCCAGUGAGGACUCGCGUACUUGAGUCGGUAUAAUUUAGGUUGGUUCUGCCACAUUUUGCAAAAUGUAUUUGGAUAAGGGUAAUUUCAGAAUAAGUGAAAGAUGGUUUUGUAAACAUGUUUUUCUUAUUUUGUCCCUUGUAAAAAAUAUAUAUUUAUCCAAAAGUUUCAUUUGAAAUGUGUGUGUUGAAGUGUGUAAAAAUUUUGGGUAAAGAGGUGAAAAUAAGGAUGUUUAUGUAAUUUUAUAAAAGUAUAAGUCCUUUUGUGCAAGUAUUUGAUUUACCAAAGUAACUUUCAAAAUUACUCAGGACUAAAGUGUAAAAAAAAUGCAAGUCAUCAUGACAUGUCUAUCCAACCAUUAUGACGAGUCUAUCCCGUCAUCAUGACGUGUCAUAAAUGCUUGCAUUUAGGUCCUAAAUGUUAUAAAAUUUCACUGUUUAGGACAAAAGUAAUUCAAAUCCAACCUUUGUUCAAAAUUUCAUGUGUAAAAAUACAAAUUGUGAGUUUUUGAACUUGGGCCCUAAAGCAGUGUUGUAGAGUUUGAAAAACUCUCCAACUUUCGUUUUGGGCAUUUCUUCAUUCGGGUUUUAGAUUGAUGGAAAAUUUUGCUUUACAAGCAAGUCCCUGCAAUUUUCUAAAAUUGCGCAUAAGUCCUUGGGAAGUUCUAAUUCCCUUUCUUCUCUGUUCUUCUUCUUUCUUUGCCUUAUCCCUUCCCUGGCGUCUCCUUUCUUUUCUCCACGGGUGGCGCUCCCUUUCCUUCCUCCCUCCCUCUGCUGCUCUGGGCAGGCACGGGAUCAAGCGCUGGCGUGCGGGGCGCUCCUGCCCCGGCGGCACCAGGCGGCUCGGGCUCCAGGCGGCGCCAGAGCGAGGCAGGCGCGGGAGCUGCGGCUCAGCGCGGGCGCUCGCGCGGCGCGGGUGAGCCCGAGGCGGCGGCGCAUGUGGGGGAGAACUAGCGCGGCUCAAGCGCGUGGGUGGCUCGGCGCAGGCGCUAGCGCGGGAGCCGGAGCGGCGGCCGCAGGCGCUAGGCUGCUGGCGGCGCGGCUCGGCUGGUGCGGAGGCGCAGCGCGGUGUGGGCCACGGCGCGCGGGAGGAGCGGCGCUAGCGCAGGGUGAGCGGCUGCGGCGCGCUGGAGCGAGCGGCCCGACUGGGGGCGGCGGCCGCAGCAGGCAGGUGCUGUCGCCGGGAGCUGGCGGCAUGGAGCAGGAGCGCGUGCGGCGCAAGCGCUAAUGGCGCGCGUAAGCGUGCGGGAGCAGGACUAGCGCCGGGCGAGCGGGCACUGGAGCGAGGCCGGCUCGCGGGCGCAGGCGCGCGUGCGCGGAGGGGCCAGAGGCGGAGGCUGACGGCUGCGGCGUGAUCGGCUCGUGGGCGGCUAGCGACGCGGUUCAGGCGGCACAGGAACGGUCGGCGCGAGCUUGAGCGCGGAGCUCGCGGUGCGGGAACGCGCUGGCACACGUAUGCGGAGGUGUCGGCGAGGCUGUUGGCGAUGGCGCAGGGGCGGAGCUCAGGGCUCGCGGUGCUGCGGCGCGGCGACUCAGUGCGAACCUGCACGGGGAAAGCAAUGGAGCCGCGCGUGAAGGACGUCGGAAACCGUUGAGGAGAAAGUAGUGGGCGAGAUCAGGCGGCACUGCGAACUGCUCGUGAGGAUUUGGAGGUGGCCAGGUGCGAGCAGAUCUCGAUCCUUGCAGAGGCGGAGGAGCGCUUAUGGCGCGGCAAGUCAGAAGGAGAAGUUGCGGAGCGAAGGCAACGGUCGGGCGUGACGAGCUCGGAAGAGAUGUGGUGCAGCCAAGCACGACGAGCACUCUUCAUCCAUACGGAGGUUCGAGCGGAAUUGAACCGGCGCGUUCGCGAGUGCGAGCGGAAGAGUUUUGCCAGUGGCCGGCUCAGCUCGAUUCCGCAGGCAUGCGCGCGUGCAAGGCAACAGGCCACGCGCGAGUAGGAUAAGGGCCAGUGGUGUGAGAGCAGUACGGGAACAGUGCACAGGAGAUGCGACCGGGUGUGGCGAUCCUGCAGGGGGGGCUACGCGGGUGUGCCGACUGUGUUUCUACAGCACACGCGCGUGAGCAGUGGAGGCUUAGCCGUGAGUAGGAAAACCCUAAGGUUCACGGAGGAGAUGGCAUAGCGAGCCAAUCCGGCUCUAUCGUCUCGUCCUAGGGGUCCACGACAUCCAGCAGCCCCUAUCUCUCGUCGAUCGUCCGAGCAAAACCACAACACCUCAAGAAAGCUCGUGAACCCUCUCAUCGAGCUCUUUUCAUCGCCAAUCCUGUUCACCGCGGGAAUUCACUUUCCGCCUGUUCUUCUCCACAACCAAGGCUACCCCAAGGUUUGCUCUGACCCACUGAAUCUUCCUAAUGCCGGCGACUUCUUUGCCGGAACAUCGUCGUUAUCUUCCUGUUCUUUGAUUUUCCCGACCAGGGACUUAAUUGCUUCAAUUUAGAAAGUUUAAGGGUGUUCCUUGUAAAAUUUCCAAAGCUUUCUUUAUUUCAAAUCAGUGGACUUCUACAUUUCAUAGAAUUUCGUAAGAAGUUCAUAAAAAUAUAAAAUCAGUUUUGUUUGAAUCCUUAGGUCAAAAUCUACAAGUUUUAUGUUGUGCUUUUGAAUUGAAAGUCUUUGAUUUGUAGUCUAAGUUAAAUAUUAGGGAAUGAGUGCUUUAUUUGUACCUUGAGUUGUAUGCAUGUGUUGUAGCUAAAGGGUUAAUCAUAGGAUAUAUGUCUUAGGCAGAAAGGUAUGAUAUCUAGUUAAUCCUUUCACACGAGUGUUCCUAUCCCUGCCAUCAAGACUUUGUCCUUGUCUUGAUUGCCGUUUCCUUAAGGUCCUUUUCGUAUAAGGAUCCCUGUUAGUUCGUGUGUAUCUGCUGCUUAGCUUAUACAUCUCUGUAGCUAUGCUUCAGCGUCGGCUAUCCGUUCAGCCACUAAGCAUCCGUUUCCUUUGAAUCUAUGAUGUUUCUAUGCAACAGUUGUCAGCCGAUACUUUUCCUUUGAUAUGCUUCUACCAUCGGCUGGUUAGCUGAUACGGUUGUUAUCUUUCUGAUAUCGGCUACUGCCGAUACAAUUCUUUUGUUAUGUCCUACACCGGCUGCACAUAGUCGAUGUAUCGGAGAUGCACACACGAUCUUAAUAAUCUUGCUAUCGGCCGAUCCAAGCCGAUUCUAGUUGUUUUCCAUAUCGGUCAAAUAUGGCCGAUCAAUCCUUAGUUUUCCCAUCCUUAUCCACACACUUCUAUCAGCCGAUUUAUCGACUGAGAGAUCGAUUAUACAUACUUAUUGGUCACAUACCCUCAACCACAUUCCAAUCGACUGUACGUCACUCAAUUAUUGUACCGACGUAAUCAAGCUGAUACAACCACACCUAGUUACCUAGGAUAACACUUAAGCACAUCUCAGUUAAAACACAGCUGCUUUAGGGAUCAUCCCUCUGUUAAAGUAGUCGAUGCUUUCAUCGAUCAAUUAGGAACCCGGUACACCUAUCAAUCGGCUACCCAGACCAAAGUACACAACCCUAGAUCAGUAAGAUAGCACAGUAGACAUACCUCUGUUAGGCACGACCAAAGUACAUCAAUUGGCUAAACCCUUGUUGUUCCAAUCGGCUCUAUUGUUAUCUUGAACAAAUAGCCGAUUCUAACUAGCUGUCCACCAAAAGCUCUAUCCAAGUUUAGUUGCAGAUCUUUUGUUUGUUAUGUGAGUAGUAAGUUACAUGAGUGUUGGAUUGCAACUUUAUUAUGAAGUAAGAUAGUUUUAUGUGCACACUUUGAAUGUAAUGUUGCAUUGCAUGUAGAUACGACUACUUCUGCAAACGGUACCUACAAAAUCUCCCAGGAGUCUGCGGAGGAUAUUCCUGAAGACCAAGUGAACGUCACCAAGGGAUAAUCUGAAGCCCCGAACCAAAGUUCAGAAGAUCUUAACUUUACUGACUUCAGCCCCACCAGUAAAGGCAAGCCUCGGUGCAUACCCCAGUAUUUCAAUUUACUACCAUUUCACAUAUAUAUUAUAUAUCUUGCAUUACGUCUAGGAGUUGAAAUGAACCCUAGUUGCAUAAAAUCUUAGGAAUCCAAUGUAUUGUACCCGAGUCCUUAUCGCUUAGAUGCUCUGCUAAAUAGGACCGGUAAAAGUUGGGUGAUUUCCUGUCACUCGCGCGAUAUAGGAAUUGCUUGUUUACAAUUCCGCAACCACUAUAAGGAUAAUGAACAGGGUCAUGUGCUGUAUCAUGACCUGAAGGUUUACCCUGUCUGUUUUGUUAAAAGUGGUUAAGGCCGAACCAUGUGGUAGUGGUGGCUAAGCGUUUGAAAGUACUAGCCACAUGCCGCGAAAUAUGGUAAGCGGUAAGCCUAGUACCCGAAUGGCCCGGCAAAUGUACGCGUUUCUACCACUCCACUUUUAUUUUAUGUUUACACGCACCGACGUGUGGGAGUACGUUCUGCAUCGCAGACAGGAAUACGGGUUUUGUAGUCGCGCUACAGGCGUAUGUCCUGCACAAUUGGUGUGCGUACGGUCCUGCAGUCGCUUGUGGUGGUUCCGAUCCAUAACCCGGAAUAUGAGGGAAACGGUUGCUUCGGAACGAUCUUUGGAUGUUCCAAGCGUGUGUGUUAGGUUUACCUUGCAAGGUUGAAUCUCGAUUCAGGAAUCGUCCGCCUCUCACGAUGAAUGAGACUGCUUAUCCCUUUUACCACAUCGAGUAAAAAGUGUAAUUAUUGAUGAAAUAAUCUUGAUGGAUGAUAAUCUCUAUCUUGCUUGUUUAGUAUAGGUGCUUAUCUAGAAUGACUAAUCAAGCUAGAAUCUGAAAACUAAAACUUGAAAGUAGGUUACACUCUUAGUUGCUUUUCAGCUGAAAAUAAACCCAGAACCCUUGAAAUGCCUUCAUGAGUCUAGUUAUGGGCUAAAGUAUACCCAAUCCCGGAUAAGCCUUGCUGACUAUUAGUAUACUCAGUCUUGCUAGUUAUAUAUUUUUCAGGUAAAGCCUUUGAAGACCCUACUCUUCCCUUGUCUUGGCCCUGUGCUCUUCCAGAAGGUUGGUCCGUGGAAUGGGAUCCGUCCCUGGCCAACACUGAUGAUACCGAGUGAUGUUGUGCCCAGGCUUAGCAUGACAUCCGUCUUGACGACGUAUUGUAAAUCAUCGUGUAUGUUUUCCGCUGCUAAAAAGCAUAAAUUAAAUAGUUUGUAAUGUUUUCCCUAAGUUUGAAACUUUGUACUACUUUUAUAAACUCUUGUAAUGUAAUUCCCUUUGAUGUAAAAUAUGAUGGUGACUGUAUCUCUGGACUCACCUUCGUGUGAGGUAACCUUAUUAGAUCCUGUGUAUCGGUGGUUUAUCGGGACGUUACCCGACAGGCCAAGGGGUUACACCGUUUGAAGCAUGUUGGAGCCCUUAAGAGAGGACUUGCGUACUUAAGCCGGUGUAAUUCAGGUUGGUUCUGCCAUAAGAAUAAGGCCGGCUGUCAGCGCAGGCCAUUCCAUAAUGACUAUGUAAAACACUUGAAAUUAAAAAUUUAAUUUUUUUGAGGCCGAUUGCAAGAAUCGGCCUCCAUAAGUACGCUGUAAUGACUCAUUUCAUGCGACUCCUUUAUUCUGUAAGGCCGGUGGAUAAGACCAGCCUUACUCCAUUUUUUGUAGCCUCGAUGCGAUCACACCCUUCUAAGCUCAUCCCUGAAAUCGGCUCUUGAUCUUUCGCAUCCCAGAUGCUCAUGGCAGCAUGCGAAAUUUCAAUUGAGUCGUCUGCCUGAACCACUUCCACCUUGUCUCCAUCCCAUUAGAUCAAACACUGAUGCAUAGUGGAGGGGAUGCAACAAUUAGUGUGAAUCCAGUCCCUGCCAAGUAAGACAUUAUAGGUACUUUUGCUGUUAACGAUGAAGAACGAGGUCGUGACAGUCUUGUUUCCGAUGGUGAGAUGUACACUGAGGAUGCCCUGAGCUUCUGAAGUCUGCCCAUUCAAGUCACUUAGCGUGACAUUAGUCUUGAUCAGGUCUCCGGUGGACCGCCCCAAACGGCGCAGAACUGAGUAUGGCAUGAUGUUAACUGCCGCUCCCGUAUCCACCAGCAUCUUGUUAACGGGCUGACCAUUAAUAUAUCCUUUAAGAUAUAAAGCUUUCAGGUGCUUGUAACUCUUGGCUCGUGGCUUUUCGAAUAUCACCGGCCGUGGUCCCAGAUCAAGCUGGGCUACCGAUGGCUCUUCGCGGGUCCGAGCAUGGAAUUCUGCAGGAAGUACAAAAACCAUAUGUGUAUCAGCCGAUACCUUCUUAUCGGCUUUUGUUGACUUGGGCCGCCAUUCCUUUCUGGAAGGGCGUGACUCCGUUUCCUGCACAUAAUGGACUUGUUCUGCCAGAUCCGAUUGCGCUUUUCUUAAUGACUCGAUAUACUUGGCCUCGGCUUCUUCCAAGCUAAGCAGCCGCUGAACCCUGCACUUUUGAGAACAGUUAAGUCCAUUAGGGCACCAACGUGGGCGAUGAUACCUAUCCUCCUCUUCUUCUUCCCUUCGUGGUGAUCGAACCCGCUCUUGCCGGGUUAGAACAGGCCCUAACCGUCGGAAAACCGAGCCCCUUACAUCUGGCUUCAUGGGUCCACACUUUGGGCAAUCCCUGAUAGUAGGCAGCCGGCUCAUACCAGAAUCCCAACAAUACCUAAAAAAUGGGUAGUGCCAAUGAUCACGGGCAUCUUCAUGCUUCCUCAAGCGCUUUCCUGUGCGAUGCUCAUAUUCUUCUUCCUCAGAUUCCCGCUGAAGGUGCUGCUGAUACUGGUAUUCAUAUUUUCUGAGAAGAUCAGAAGAAGUUGGCCGUUGAUUCCUCACAUACCUUACUUGCUCUUCUGUGACAUAUCCUUUCCUUUCUUUUUGGGACCGAUCGCUGGGAUCAGCCUCUUUGUUCUUAACCUGGUGGCGUGAUGCCACCCCCGCUAUGUUGAUGCCGAGCGCGAAGUCUAGCUGUCGCCUUGCCGACCGGUCAUAAUUUUCUACCAUGUUCACACCAAGGAAAGGCUGAGUGUCAACCUUCAUGGCGGUCUGGCCUAAGAUCAAUCGGCCCUGCUCAAUAGCCGAUUGGAUUUGCCGACGGAGCUCCUUGCAAUCACCUGUGCCGUGGGUAAAGGAGUCAUGCCACUUACAAUAUGAUCUUCCUUUCAACUCCUGCGCCGUGGGAGGCUUGUAUCCUUCUGGAAACUUCAACUGUUUUUCUUUUAACAAUAAGUCGAAAAUUUGUUCGACUUUACCCACAUCAAAGUCAAACCCCUUUGUAGGCCCAGUUUGCUUCACCCACUUGCAAGGCACAGGAUUUGCGCCGCGAGCCCAUUCUGCGACUGACACUUCUAGCUCUUCCCCGGAGUCAUCGGCUUCUUCUGUAUCAGCUACCGCCACCUGACGCUUAAAUUUUUCUUGGUAUAGCUCAGGAUGACUGUGACAGUUUAUGUGUUUGUAAACUAGGCAAAUAAUUUGUUAGUGUGAAGUGUGUAUUUGUUAGUGUAAAGCUUGUGCGUGUUUAUGUGAAACUUUUAAAAAUUUAAAAGUGCAAGUAAAAAGGGUAUUGUUGUAAUUACAGAAAAACCUAGGGUUGUUUUUGCAAAAUGUAUUUGGAGAAGGAUAAUUUUGAAAUAAGUGAAGGGUGGUUUUGCAAACGUGUUUUUCAUACAAUUUAUCCCCUAUAAAAAGUUAUGUAUUUAUCCGAAAGUUGCAUUUGAAAUGUGUGCGUUGAAGUGUGUAAAAAUUUUGGGUAAAGUGGUAAAAAUAAGGGUAUUUAUGUGAUUUUAUAAAAGUACAAGUCCUUUUAUGCAAGUUUCUAAUUUACAAAAGUAACUUUCAAAAUUACUCAGGACUAAAGUGUAAAAGUGCGAGUCAUCAUGACAUUUCUAUCCAACCAUUAUGACGAGUCUAUCCCGUCAUUAUGAUGUGUCAUAAAUGCUUGCAUUUAAGUCCUGAAUUUUAUAAAAUUACACUUUUAGGACAAAAGCAAUUCAAAUCCACUUUUAUUCAAAGAUUCGCGUGUAAAAAUAUAAGUUUUGAGUUUUUGAAUUUGGGCCCUAAAGCAAUGUUGUAGAGCUUAAAAAACUGUCCAACUUUCGUUUUGGGCGUUUCUUCAUUUGUGUUUUAAAUCAACAGGAAAUUUUGUUUUACACACAGGCCCUUGCAGUUUUCUAAAAUUACGCAUAAGUCCUUGGGAGAACUCCACUUCCCUUUUCCUCUGUUUCUCUUCUCCCUGGCGUGUCUUCCUUUUUCUCCCCACCGGCAACACAGUCUCCUUCUUAUCCACUCUCUCUCUCUUCUCCUCCACCCGGUUCAGCUCCAGGCGGAAUGGGCGGCAGAUGGAGGCGCGGCUCAGGCGGAGGCUGGCCCAGGCAGCUGCGGGAGCCAGUGCAGGCGGCCCCACGCAGGGCGCGCGCGGCGGCUCGGCGAGCGUGGGCUGCGGCAGGAGCUGGCGGACCCGAGCGGUGCGUGUGCAGGCGCGCGCAGGCGGGGCUCGGCUCGGGCGGUCCCCAGGCGCACGGCGAGCGCGGCCCCAGGCCAGGCGGGGCACGCGCGGGCGAGCGGCCGUGCGGCCCAGGCGCGGAGCAGAUGCGCGGAGCGACGGGCCCGAGCGAGCGCAGGCGGUGCGGAGCAGGUGAAGGCGCGUGAGGCCGGAGCGAGGCGGGGCGGCGCCUGAGCGAACGCGUGGCAGCGGGCGGUUCGGCUCUGGGCAAGCGGCGGCUUUGGUGGCGGAGCAGCGACGCGCAAGGGCGAGCGCAGGGCGGCAGCGGCGCGCAGCUCAGCGCGUGAGAGCAGGCGUGGCGAGCGGCUGCAGGCAGCGCGGAGCGGCACCAUCGCGAGCGGGAGCCGGAACAGCGGCGUGCAGGGGCAGACGGAGUGGCGCGGCCCAAGCGCGCGGACGGCUGGUGAGCGAGGACGCAGGGAGUUGGCGCGGCUCGGGACCGACGGAGCACGGGCGACGGACGACGCGCGCGCGGUGCGGUUGUGUAUGGGCGCGGCGUGCACGGGCGAGCGGCGCCAGAGCGGAACGUGGGCGACGCCGAGCAGGUGGCGCGAGCGUGCGCGUAGUGACGCGCAGAAGCUAGCAAUGUGUGUGCAGAUAUUAGGCGGCCGGAGCAAGCACGGCACAGAUGCAGGCGGCGUGGGCGUGUAAGUGCAGGAGCAGAACUCGAGCGGAGGUGAACGGCCCGGAGCGAGCAGUGACGUGCGGAGCGGUUUCAGACGCGUGAGCAGCAGCGCGAUGCGGGCCAAGGACGCGCGCGGUUCGGGCGUGCGCGGGCGGAAGUGAGGCGUGGCGGAUCGGGACAGACCCACACGAAGGGCGACGAGGUCGCGCACGGCAGUACCUUGGCAAGGACAGUCGCGGAAGGACCUGCGACGCGGCAAGGCCGAGGCGAGUGCGGGCUCGACAACAGGAGGAAGAAGAGUAACCAUGCCGAGCGACGACGUGCAGGGUGGCCGCGUGCAACGCGUGGCGGUGUUCUCGCUGGGCGAGCUCAGGCCGCGACCGAGUUGGUGUGCAGAAGGGUCGCGCGUAAUGGACAUUUGAGGCCAUCGAGGAAACCGCAGCGGAAGGUACGGCCCUAAUACAGGUAAACCACCGUCCUCGCGAAGGCGAAGGUAUGAGUAUGGCAGGGCGAAUCAGAAAGAGAAGCCGCGGAGCGAAGGCAGUGGUCGGGCGUGACGAGUUCGGAGGAGAUGCGGUGCAGCCAGGCACGACGAGCUCCCUUCAUCUAUACGGAAGUCGAGGCGGGAGCAACGCGACAUGGGUUUGACGUGCAAUGCAAGACCGGCGGCGGCGGUAGGUCAAACCGGAGGGCGUCGCAACAAGUGGAGGGGACGGCGAAGUUGCAAGACCCAGAGGACGGCAGAGUUACAGGAUCCGGAGGUCUGAGCGGGAUUGAAUCGGAGCGUUCGCGAGUGCGAGCGAAAGUAUUAUGUUAGUGGCCAGCUCGGCUUAAUUCAGCAAGCGCGUGCGUGUACAAGACAACAGACCAUCUUCCACCCACGGCAACCUUUCCUGGCAAACUUCUUCGUCAUCCACGGGAUCUCGUCACCAUCGAACUUUUCUCUUCGCCAAUCUUGUUCGCCACGGGACUUCACUUUCCAUCCGUUCUUCUCCACAACCAAGGUUUACCCUAAUUCACUGAAUCUCCUUAAUACCGGUGAUUCCUUUACCAAAAUAUCGUCGUUAUCUUCCUGUUAUCUGUUUUCCCCGACCAGCGACUUGAUUGCUAUGUUUUAGAAAACUCUAGGGUGUUCUUUGUAAAAUUUCCGAAGUUUUCUGUAUUUCAAAUUGAUGAACUUCUACAUUUCAUAGAUUUUCGUAGGAAGUUCAUAAAAAUGUAAAAUCAGUUUUGUUUGAAAUCCUAAGUCAAACCCUACAAAUUUUAUGUUGUGCUCUUGAAUUGAAAAUCUUUGAUGUGUGGUUUAGGUCAAAUGUUAGAGAAUGAAUACUUUGUUUGUACCUUAUAUUGUAUGCAUGUGUUGUAGCUGGAAGAUAAAUUAUAGGGUGUAUGUUUUAAGUGGAGAAGUGUGACAUUUAGUUAAUCCUAUCACCCUAGAGCUCAUGUCCCUACCAUCAAGAUAUUGUCCUCAUCUUGAUUGCUGUUUCCUUAAGUUCCUUGUCGUAUAUAGAUCCUUGUCAGUCUGUGUGCAUCUACUGCUUAGCUAAUACAUCUUGACAGUUAUACUUCAGUGGCAAGUUAUCAACCCAACCACUUAACAUCUGUUUUAUUUAAGUAUAUAAUGUUCUUGUGUAACAGCUGUCAGUCGAUGCUUCUACCAUCGGCUGGUUAGCUGAAACGGUUGUUAUCUUUCUAGUAUCGGCUACUGCCGGUAACAUUCUGUUGUUCCGUCCUAUAUCGGCUAUCACAUAGCCAAUCAAGUUGAGGUGCACACACGAUCUUAGGGUUCUUGCUAUCGGCUGAUCCAAGCUGAUUCUAGUUAGUUGUUCCCCUAAAGCUCUGUCUAAGUUUAGUUCAGAUCUUUUUGGCUGUUAUGUGAGUGGUAUGUUAAAUGAGUGUUGGAUUGCAACUUUAUUGUGAAGUAAGAUAGUUUUAUGUGCACACUUUGAAUGUAUGUUGCAUUGCAUGUAGAUACGACUACUUCAGCAACGGUACCUACGAGAUCUCCCUGGAGUCUAUGGAGGAUGUUCCUGAAGACCGAGUGAAUGUCAUCAAGAGAUUAACUGAAGCCCCGAACCAAAGUUCGGAAGAUAUUAACAUUUCUGACUUCAGUCCCACCAGUAAAGGCAAGCCCCGGACAUAACCCACUAUUUUAUUUACACUGCAAUCUAUAUCUAUUUACAUAUUCUAUGCAUUAAGUUCUUGGGAAUUGCUUGGAACCCUAGUUGCAUUCUCCUAGGAACCAAUGUGAUGGAUACUAGCUCUUGAGUCCGACUAGGUACUAUGCUAAUAGGACCGGUAGAAGUCGGGUGAUUUCCUGUCACUCGCGCGACUUAGGAGUUGUAAUGUUUACAUUUCUGUUAUCACUAUAAGGAUGACGGACGGGAGUUUUGAGAGGUAUCAUGGUUGAGGUGAUACCCCGUCUGUGUUGUUGAAAUUGAUAAGGUCGCGGUGUGUGCCGAUCGGGGUUAAGCGUUUGAAAGUACUAACCACAUGCCGCGAAAUAUGGUAAGCGGUAAGCCUAGUAACCAAUCGGCCCGAGGAGUGGACAUACCCCCCACCACAUGUAUUUGCUUCUUUUGGUUACUUUGUUCGACGUGUAGGCAUACGUGUUGCUGGGCAACCAGGAAUACGGGUUUUGUAGUCGCGCUACAGACGUAUGUCCUGCACUUUGGAAGUGCGUAUGUUCCUGCAGUCGCUUGUGGUGGAUCUAAUCCACGAGUCGGAAUGAAAGGCAAACGGUUGCUUUGGAACGACCCUUUGGUGUUCCAAGCGUGUGAGUUAGGUUUACCUUGCAAGGUUAAAUUCGAUUCAGAAUCGUCCGCCUCUCACGAAGAUUGAGACUGCUUAAUCCCUUUAUCACAUAGAGUAACAAGAGCAAUAUUAUGGUUAUCAAAGAUGAUGCUUGACCAAAGAUUACACCAUGCUUGCUUAGUUAUAGGUGCUUACCUAGAAUGAAUAAUUAACUAGAAUCUGAAAGCUAAAACUUGAAGUUAAGGAUCUACUCUUGUUGCUUUUCAGUUGAAACUAAACCCAGAACCAUUAUAAGCUUUCAUAAGUCUAGUUAUGGGCUAAGUAUACCCAAUCCCGGGUAAGCCUUGCUGAGUAUUAGUAUACUCAGCCUUGCUAGUUUUAUGUUUUUCAGAUAAAGCCUUUGAAGACCCUACUCUUUCCCUGUCAUGACCCUGUGCUCUUCCAGAAGAUUGGUCCGAGGAAUGGGAUCCGUCCCCGGCCAAUACCGAUGAUCUCGAGUGAUGUCGUGCCCGGGCUUAGCAUGACAUCCGUCUUGACGACGUGUUGUGAAACGUCACGUAUGUUUUCCGCUGCCAAAAAUCAUAACUCUAACAGUUUGUAGUAACUUCUCUAAGUUUGAAACUUCGUAUUUCUUUUGGGAACUCUUGUAAUGUAAUUCUCUAUGAUGUAAGAUGUGAUGGUGAUUGUAUCUCUGGACUCACCUUCGUGUGAGGUAACCUUAUUUGAUCCUGUGUAUCGGUGGUUUAUCGGGACGUUACCCGACAGGCCAAGGGAUUAUACCGUUUGAAGCACGUUGGAGCCCUCGGGAGUGGACUCGCGUACUUGAGCCGGUAUAAUUCAGGUUGGUUCUGCCACAAUGACGCUGCUCAUGCGUCGUCAGCUUCUGGACUAGAUGCGCCAAAGAGGUGAAUUCCAAUUGAAAAGCCAGAUCUCUGAUCGGCUCCAAUAAUCCCAUAGAUGCCAAUUCAACUGCUUCUUUUUCCGAAAUCCAUGUUGAAUAACAUCUGUUCUUCAUCUCCCUGAAGCGUUGAACGAAUUCUGCCACGGUCUCUCCUCGCUUCUGUCGUACCUGUGCCAAAUCGGCAAUUUCUGCUUCUGCAGCUUCUGAAUGAUACUGAAUGUGGAAUUGUUUUUCCAGCUGCUUCCAGGUACGGAUAGAGUCAGGACGUAACGACGUGUACCAUCCGAAGGCUGGUCCUGUGAGCGAUUGCGAGAAAAACCUUACUCGCAACGGAUCCGAUACGGAGAUCAUAUCCAAUUGUGCCAAGUAUCGGCUUACGUGUUCAAUAGAACUAGAACCUUCUGCCCCACUGAAUUUGGUAAACUCAGGAAGCCGAUACUUGGGCGGCAGUGGGAUUAAAUCAUAAUCGCUUGGAUACGGCUAGGUAUAGCCGAUCGCUCGCCUCUUUGGUAAUAUGCCAAACUGAUCCCUCAGAAUAGCGCUAAUUUGCUCUGCUGUUUGUAACCCAGGGGCCGAGUGCAUACUGUCGUGACUUGGCCCGGUAGCAAAAGUUGCCAACCAUGCUUGCUUGUCUGCGUCGGCUCCGGAAACCCCUCCAAUUGCUUUCUGUGCAGAAUGUACCGGGUUAUUGCUGUCUGGUAUGUACGCACACAUAUAGCCAUGUGGGAUCUCCUUGGGUGGCUCGCUGAAGAACUGGUGAUCCAUGGGGUCACCUUCCACUUUAUAAACCACAUAAGCUGGAGCACCAUGUGAUUCCGCAGCCGCGAGCGCAUAAGGCAAUGGUGGUCUGGUUUGGAAUGGAAAUUCUCCUUUAUGACUCCCCAAGGUAGGCCCAGUCCGAGAAUGCUGAUGCUCCAUAAUUUCUUGGACCACAUGCAAAGCUACACGCUCGAAAGCAUUGACCAAACUUUCAGAAUGUCGGUGUAAUGAGUGAGCCACCGCAUAAUUCACUUCCUGCCACAGAGCUCUGGUACGGUCUUCAGAUGGGAUAGAUAGAUCUACUCCGUCAAGAGCACCUUCGGGUGAAAACCCUUUCCACCUGACACCGUGGUUGCAAGUCCUUUCAAAAGAGCCGAUGAGAUCAGCUUCAAAUUGAGUCUUGAUUUCAUCAUAUCUCUGCUUAUGCUCAGCAGAGAGCUCCUCAUAGGUGAUCGGAUCGUCUCUUGCCAUUCCGCUAACUGCGAUUGACGAAGUCGAUGGAGAUGACAAAGUCGAUGAAGAUGAUGGUGAUGAUGAUGACGAAGUCGAUGGAGAGGGUCCCAUCGGGCGUGCCAAAAUGUGUUGUCGGUCAAAACCCGCCGGCGAGCAGUGACAGGCAACACGAGGAGCCGGGAGGCUUCCAGGACGGCUGGUGGGCCCCGGUCCCUCGGUCAACGGCCCAGUAAUCCGGCGUGCACCCUAGCUUGAGGUCGCUAGGCGUGCCACCUGAUCCUACACCUAAUCAGGAAGGUGUGAUGUAUCAAAUUCCUGUACGCACAGACACGUGUAAAGGUCAGUCCGAGCCGUGAUCGGCUCAUCACUUCCUCCCCGGUAUCGGCUAUGAAGAGCCGAUUGCGGCAAUACCGGAUCGGAUCUUUGGAACAGGCAAUAUACAUAUAUGCUUAACAACAAAAUAAAUCUUGUUUCAUAAAUAUCAAUCUAACCCAAUCCACGAUGACUAAGCCCUCAUUGCAUGAUCCGAACAUCCUACACGUAAUUGAGCCUAACGAAUACGCAAAAGCAUCGGAACAAACAAUCUAAACAGAGAUCCUAAAACCAGCCGAAGAGCCGAUUCCUAGAGCAACCUCUAUUCAAGCUACGACCCGAUACUAAAUAUACUGCCGAAACUUUCAACUCGUUUGCAAGGCCUAAUCAUGCACAUAUUGAACCAAAUCUCUAAUAAAUAGAAACUAGCCAUAACAGAUUGGAUCUACUGAUAAAGAUGAAGCAAGAUGCAACCAUCGCAUCCAUGAUCGAACACGACGAUUACUAAGCACACGCGAGCAACGAACAAAGCAUGAUCGGGAUACACAGAAGAUAACGUUACUCUAUGCGUGCUAAGAUAACUAGUGCUACUCGCCAUCUACAAGGCUUCAGAACGAGCAACACAUAAAACAAACGAGCAAGGGUGAUGCUACCCCGAUCACGCAUAGCGUGAUCGGAACUGCAUGGCACUUACCUGAUGAAAACCCUAGAACAGGGGAGGCGAUGCGCCGAGAGUUGUUGAUGAAUGAUUCUGUUUCUUGUUUAUUCAUAGUACGUAUUUAUAGUUCGUAGACUCAUCCUUCUUAACUAACCCUAACUGUGGCAGAACCAACCUGAAUUAUACCGACUCAAGUACGCGAGUCCUCGCCGAAGGGCUACCUCGUACUUCAAACGGUAUAAUACUAUUGGUCUGUCGGGUAACGUCCCGAUAAACCACCGAACGCAGGAUCCAACAAGGUACCUCACACGAAGGUGAGUCCAGAGAUACAAUGCAAAAAUAUCUUACACCACAGGCAGUUAUAUUACAAAAAUGUACAAAGCAUCAUUAGCUCCCACGGAGGAGAGAUUAUUACAAGACAGGUUUUAGUUUUUAGUCAAAGCAGCGGAGUUUGGAAAACGUAGACAUUGUACACGUCGUUAUUACAGAUAUCAUGCUAGCCCUGGCAUGAUGUCACUCGGCAGAAUCUGUGUUGGCCGGGGACGGAUCCCAUUCCACGGACCAACCAUCAGGCAAGGGGUAGGGCCACGGGGUAAUGAAUGCUGGCUCAUCAGGAGGAUUACCUGAAGUAUUUCAACAAAAGCAAGGCUGAGUAUACUAAUACUCAGCAAGACUUACCCGGAAGUGGGUAUACCUUAGCCCAUAACUAAACUCAUGAUGGCUUUUAGCUUUGGGUAGGGUUUUCAGCUGAAAAGCAACAAAGAGUAGAUCCUUAAUUUCAACUUUUAGCUUUCAGGUUCUAGUUGAUUAACCAUUCUAGGUAAGCACCUAUAACUAGUCAAACAUGGUAGAAUCUUUACUCAAACAUCAUCUUAGAUAAUCACAUAAUUACUCUUGUUACUCUAUGUGGUAAAGGGAAUAAGCAGUCUCAUUCAUCGUGAGAGGCGGACGAUUCUUGAAUCGAGAUUCAACCUUGCAAGGAUAAACCUAACACACACGCUUGGAACACCAAAGGGUCGUUCCGAAGCAACCGUUUGCCUUUCAUUCCGACUCGUGGAUCAGGGCCACCACAAGUGACUGCAGGUCAUACGCACUUCCAAAGUGCAGGACGUAUGUCUAUAGCGCGACUACAAAACCCGUACUCCUGGUUGCCCAGCAACACGUAUGCCUACACGUCGAACAAAGUAACCAAAAGAAGCAAAUACAUGUGGUGGGGGGUAUGUCCACUCCUCGGGCCGAUCGGUUACUAGGCUUACCGCUUACCAUAUUUCACGGCAUGUGGCUAGUACUUUCAAACGCUUAACCACCGCUACCACACACUGCGACCUUAUCAAAAUUCAUUAAAACAGACGGGUAUCAUCUUGACCAUGAUACCUCAUAAAACUCCCGUCCGUCAUCCUUAUAAUGAUAACAGAAAUGUAAACAUUACAAUUCCUAUAUCGCGCGAGUGACAGGAAAUCACUCGACUUCUACUGGUCCUAUAAGCAGAGCAGCUAUUCGGACUCAAUUUUCUAAUGUUCAAUACAUCGGUUCCUGGAUAAUGCAACUAAGUUUUCAAACAACUCCUAAGAACCUAAUGCAUAAAGAUAUACAUAAUAAUAUAGGUUGCAGUGUAAUAAAGUAGGGGUUAUGUCCGGGUCUUGCCUUCGCUGGUAGGGUUGGGGUUAGUCAAAUUAUUUUCUUCCGAACCUUGGUUCGGGGCUUCAGAGAAAUCCGCGACGAGAGUUCCGCGGUCUUCAGAAUAACCUCCUUCUUGUUCCGGGAUCAGCUGAUAAUUCCCGUCGGCGAGAGUGGUCGAGUCUACAUGAUAUGCAAAAUGAAGUUUAAUGGAUGCAUACAUUUGUAGUUCAGUUCACGAUAAAGUUGCAAUCUAAAUAAAGGACAUUACAUUUUGACAAUCAACUUAACUACCCUGUACUGGGCAGUCAUUUAUCGAGUACUAACUAAACUAACUAGUCUCGUUAGGCAACCGGGGGGGGGGUUACCCUAAACGUUCAAUUAAUUACAGUAGGUAGCAUAUUUGAUUACCUUAAGCAAUACUUCACACACUUAGCAAUCUCCAUUUUAUUAGUUAAACAUUGUAAUUAACUUUAGGUUAUUAUUUAAUUAUGGUUAACCUUGAAUUAAUUUUAGACAAAUUGUAAUUUAGUAGAAUUAAAUUAAUACUUAUGAAAAUUACCCUAAGUGGGUUUAAUUGAAAUAACAUUACUCUAGAUAGUUUAUACCAUAGAUAAUUAGAACAACUCACUUAAUUAAACAAUAUGUUUAACUUAAACAAUUUUUACAGUGCAAGAUAGUUCAAAACAGGAGCUACAAAAUUUACUAAGCACAGAUUGAUAUUUGAUAUAUUUACUGGAGUUUUAUUGGAUUUUUAUUCUAAAAGGAAUUAAGUCACCAAUUUAAACAAGAUCAACAUUGAAAUUUCAAGAUGCAAUUAUAUCUGAGGUUUUACACUAAAACUAGAGUUCAAAUUUUAAGGGCAUCAUAAACUACUCAAGACUAACAUUUCAGAAAAGUUUCAUAAUUUUUCAUGCAUAAUAAAUAUUAUUUAGGAAUUACCUUUGAAUUUAAGCUUGAAUUUUAUAACUCAAGUUAUAUUAGGCUUCUGAUUCUCAAAUUUUUAUGAUGGAUCAUACUUAUAAAGAUCAAGUCAGGGUAGAAAUUUCAUCCCUAAAUAUGUACAGAUGCUUCUGAAAUUUAUUUGUGAAGCUUUCAUUAUCAUAUAGCAAAGGUAGCAAAAUAUUCUAGCUAGAGGGCUGAUCUAGGCCUCAAAAAUUUACACUAGGCUACUCAAACCAUAUGCAACACAUGCUCCAAAAAUCAACAGCAACAAGGCUAUAGAUCAUAAGGUUCAAUUAAAACAUCCCUUUACUUGUAUUUAAAAUACAGAACAAACUAUGCAUUUUCAUAGCAUGAUUAUGAAAUAAAAGUUGUAGAAUUUAUCACAAGGAUUCUAACCCAACAAGUUUGGUAUUUUUCUGAUUUUUCUAUGAUUUUCUACACAUUUUUGAACUUCACUGAUUUAAAAGGGAGGGAGGGAUUGAGACUUUGCAUAAAGAACCCUAGCAGAAUUAAAAUGCUUGCAAUCGGGUCCCUGCUGCCAUGGCCGGCGGGGAGAGCUCCAUUCCGGCCAAAAUCCGGCGAUCCCCAGGGUCGGCGGCGAGGGGCAAGGGAAGAGGAAGCAUCAGGGAGUCGAGGGCUACCUGUAGAGGGUCUUGGGGAGAGUGGGGAGGGGCGGUGGCGAGCUGCCCACGGGAGCAGUAGCUCCGGCGAGCGGCGGCUCAAAUUCCGGCGAGCUCGGGUGGGGAAUGGGGAUGGCGCGUGGUCUAGGAGUUCUAGGGCGAGGAGGGGAUCCGAUUCCGAGACUCAGCUCAAGGAGAGGAAGGUCGGAAGGGGGAGCUCGACGUGGAGCAGAGGGCGGCGGCAAUGGAGGUGGGGCGGCGGCCGAUGGUACACGCACAGGAGCAAGCCGAGCUGCUUUGUAUAGACUACCAGGAAGGAAAAGAGUGAGGAGGGAGGCAACAUUGCGGUUGGGGGCAGCUACUUAGGCCCCGCGGUGGAGGAGCAGAAGGUCGCCGUGGCCGGUGGUGCUGCAGUCCGUAGCAGAAGGGAGGCGAUGUGGCGCGCGGGGAAGGAGACAACGGGGAGGGGCUAGUGUGGUGGGAAGGCCCUCAGGCGACGCGUGGAAGGGAAAUCCAGCAGGAGGUGGUGCUCGGGGGGCUGCGCCGGCGGUGAGCGGCGGCGGCAGGAGCAGAGCAGAGGAGAAGCAGCGGUGCCAGAGGAGGAAGAAGGCAGACAGGAGUCAGAAGGACUCGUUUGUAAUUCCCAAAGAGUCCAGGGACCCCUCUGUAAACUAAAAUUUCCCAUUGAUACAAAAUCCUAAUGAUAAAAAUGUCAAAAGCAAAGUUGUAGAGAAUUUCAAAUCCUACAAGAAUGCUUUAGGGUUCAAGUUCAAAAUCUCAAAGGGUACAGUUUUAUUUUGAACUUUUGAAUACAACUCAAAUUGUAAACUUUGUUUUACAAUUUGCACUAAAUGCCUUAAUGUUUGGGGUCUCUUUGUAAGAUUUUCUGCAGUAAUCAUGACUAGCUCUUUUACACUUUAGCCCUUAGGUAAAACUAAGUUUUACUUUUAUCUUUCAACCAUUCUAUAUGUAAGUCCUUAUAUUCAUGUUAAUUACACUUAGGCCCUUGGUUUCAUACAAAGUCUAUUCCUUUUAGAUUUUAACUUAAUAUUUGUACUUUUCUUCUCUAUAGACAUUUGAUUUUGACAUUUUAAGAGCAUUAUCACACAAUUGCACAUAAGAACUUAUAAAAUUCAUAAUUUACAAUUACAUCCCUAGUUUUCUGUACAAACCUUAAUAUACAUACAACACACCAAUACCUAGCGUCUAUAUUCUAAUUACAAGAAUGUUACACUAACCAAACACGAUACGACUCUUAAUGGCCUAUAUCUAUAUUUACACGGACUUUCUGGCCCCAAUCAUCCGCACAAGGUCCGAUUCGCAAGCUUAUUAUAAUUAUCCUCUAAGCCCAUCUUUCUCCAUGGCCCACUUCUGGCCCGUCCAGAAUAUGGCGAUAACAUCGGGGUGGUACACUUCUUUAAUAAAACUAGCCACAAGUAGUUUGACUAGCUCUUUCUUGAUGGCCUACCUCUUGUCGGGGGCGAAGCAUCAUAGUCGUUGCUUCUUCGGAGUGGCUUUAGGGUCGACUUUUAGGUAGUGCUCGAUCAACUCCUUGGACACCCGUGGCAUAUCCGCUGGUUUCCAAGCAAAUAUUUCCCGGUUGGCCUUAAGGAAGCUGACAAGCGCAAUUUCCUAUUUGUCGCCUAAGCCGCCCCAGAUCAAAGCAGUCUUGGAUGAGUCGCCUUCUUGCAGCUGUAUGGCCUUGAUGCCGAUGUUGCUAGGGUUGGGUUUAACCCUUGACUGGCUAGGCCACUGGUUGGAGAUCUCCAUCUCUGAGUUGGUCAGCUUCUGCGCGGCCGCGAGUACUUCUGCAGACAGCUCUGGCAUGCGUGAUGUUGUGGCAUACUCGAUCGCUUCCUAGUCGUAGUCGUACGACUUCUUCAGGUCGCCACGGAGUGUCAGUACGCCUAUCUUGUCUGGCAUUUUGAGUAGCAGGUAGACGUAGUGGGGCACGGCCAUGAAUUUGGCUAGUGCCUGUCUGCUAAGGAUGGCAUGGUAUGAUGAGUCAAAAUCCACUACCUCAAACUUGAUGUACUCAGUGCGGUAGUUGUCUUUCGUACAAAAGGUGACUAGCUGGACCACUAACCCGAGUGGUGUAGCCGUGUUACUUGGGAAAAUGCCGUAGAAAGGAGCUUUGUUGGGUUGAGCAUCUUGGAGAUGCCCAGUCCCAUCUUCUUUAGAGUACUCGCGAAAAGCAGGUUGAGGCCGCUCCCGCCGUCAAUGAAUACUCGGGUUAGCUGUGAGCCCGCCACGAUAGGGUAUAGGACGAGCGGGAAUUUUCCCGGCUCAGAAAAGUUGGUCCAUUGAUCAUCCUGGAAAAGGAGAUCAGGACCUCGUUGUAUCUCAGAGGCCUUGUCGUGGCUGGCUCCACAGAGAGUAUUUUGUGCAGGGUUAACUUCUGCACGCGCUUGGAGGGGAAUCCUCCGUCUCCACUAAAAAUGAUGUUGAUGACGUUCUUCGGGUCCUGGAAGUCUUGAGCCCUCGACUUGUCCCCUCCCUCAUCAUCAGCCUGGUCCUUCCGCUUUCCUCCUUGAGAGAGGGGUGGUGCAUUGAGUGACUUGCGGAUGGUGACGCACUCGAAGAGCGUGUGUCGCGACUUCAGGUGUAUCGGGCACUGUUCAUGCAUGACUUGCUCGUACUCCGAGUUGUUGUUCCCUGACUUCUUGCCACGCGGAUUGCGCUCAACAGCCGCAACUUCAUGGUCUGGCUUUCACUUUCGGGUGUUCCCCGAGUGGUUCUGAUAGCUUUUGUUGAACUGGCUGUUGCCAUUGCCUUGCUUGUCAUGGUUGCGCUUGGGGAAGUGGUCGUUCUCCUCGUCCUCUUGAUCAGCCCACCGUGCUAUCAUGUCAAGCAGCUCUACAGCAGUACUCGGGCAGUUGCACCCGAAGUCGUGGUACGUAUGCUUCGAGAAGAGCCCAUUCUAGAAGCAGCGGAUGAUGUCUUCAUCGGUGAUGUUAGCGCUGGUGGCCGCAUCUCGAAGAAACGCCGGGUGUAGGACCUCAGGGUCUCAUUCAUCUCUUGCUUCACUUGGGAUAGAUCAUGGCGAAUGCCCGCCCUGAUCAUGGAUCCUUGGAAGUUGUUGAUGAAGACCUGCUUGAGAUCCUCCCACGAGUCGAUGGAGUUUGGCUUGAGGCUUUCAAGCCACGUGAGGGGUGCGAACUCCAGAACUACUAGGAAGUAGAGAGCUUUUGUGGAGUUGGAUCCCCCUGAAACUUCAAUAGCGACAAAGCAGCAACGAAUCCACUAGCGUGGGUCUUGCUUACCAUCAUACUUUGGGAUUCCUACUUGUUUCAAGUCCUUUGGAUAGGACUUGUCAGUGAUGCAGGUGGUGACGGCUGGGAAAUGGUCGCUGUCGUCAACAUGGCACCUACCGGUACGAUCCUUUCACCUUGCUUCAAUAACACACCUCGUGUCGUGGCCUUCAUUGAUCUUCUACCUAAGGUCGAUCGUGGGAGCGUCAUGGAGGUUGGCCUCGAGUGGAUCUUGGCCUUGAUUCCUUGCACCACGCUGGUUGCGAGUGGGUUGUUGUACUUCUUGUUCAUUCUUGCCACGCGCGGACGGGUGGCCCUCGUUGAGCUGGCAGUUGUCGUUCCUCCGGCUCCCGGGGCCUCCUCCGGGGGUGCGACUGACCAGCACGGUAUCACCAUGGCGCUCAGACCUCGAGGGCUGAUUCUGAGUGGAAGACACUGGAAGAUGCCCAUCGAGUUGCACGAGCGUGCGCUGGGUUACAUACUGUAGCCUUUGUAUCUGAGGAUUGGGUGCGAGUUAUUGAGCUAAGACGGCUGCUUCUGCGAUGGUGCCAAUCGGCGUACGGUACUCCCGAUCCGCGACUACUACGAAAGUGUUGUUUAGAUCCCUUGGUUCGUGUAACAUUGAGGUAAUAGAGAUAUAGACACUAGGUAUUAGUGAGGUAUAUGUGUGCUUGCUAUGAUGUAUGUGAGGUGUACAAGGGACUAGGGGUAUAUUUGUAAUUUAUGAAAUAUAUAGGUCCUUGAGUGUAAUUUGGUAAAUAUAAUACUAAGUGUCAAGUUUAAAUGACCAUAGGGAAGAAAGUGUAAAAGAUGGGUUAAAACCUAAGAAAAAUAGGCCUUUGUAUGAAACGAGGGACCUAUGUGUGAUUAAGAUAAAAAUUGAAGGGCCAUAUGCAAAAUAGUUGAAGUGUAAUAGUAAUAUUCAGGUUUACUUAAGGACUAAUAUGUAAAAAUACCAGUAAUCAUGACAAUCCAGGAAAAUUUGUAAACCUACCCAAAAUUUGAUCGAAUUUAUUUGGAUAAAUACAAAAGUAAGUUAAAUUCCACCUUUAUUCAAAAACUUAACAUAAAAAGUUGUAAACUUUGAGUUUCUGAACUUGAGCCCUAAAUCAAUGUUGUAGAGUUUGAAAAACUCUACAACUUUCAUUUUGGGCACUUCCUCAUUUGAUCUUUAUAUUAGUGAGAAAUUUUAGUUUACCGAGAGGUCCUUGAACUUUCUUAAAUUUUCAAACAAGUCCCCCGGACCCUUUCCUUCUCUUCUUUCUCCCCGAGCACAUGCUCUCCCCUGCCCUGCUCUGUUCUGCUCUGCCGCCGGCAGUGCUUCUCCUUCGGCCGCCGCUGUGCAGGCCGUCGCCGUCCACCUCCUGCUUCCUCUUCAUCCACGCGUCAUCCUCUUCCCCUCCCAGUCCUGUUCCUCUCUCCUGUUGGCCUCCCGCGCGCGCCACGGCCUCCCCGAACAUCCGCCGGCCGCCACCUCCUCGUCGCCGUGGAGAGCCCACCGCAGAGCCUUAACUCUCUAUCUCUCGCGUGCAACAGCACCACCUUAACCUCUACGUUCCGUUCCUCCAGUCCCAUUGCCAAUUCUCGAACGCCUGACCCAAAUUCCACCGCCGCCCUUUCUUCCUCCACUCCGGCAACGCACGGCAUCACCGUGGGCAGCCACCACCAGGCAUCCUCCACCCCAAUUAACCCUUGUGCAAGUUUUCCCGUGGCUCACUCGUGCUCUUCGACCCCCUGUUGCCCUACAAUUGUGGUCUUAGCUUCAUCUCCGACAAGCGCCGUCGUCGCCGCCUUCGGCCUCAUCGUGGACAGCUCACUCCGAGCAUCUCCACGCCACCACGACUCCCUAGCCAGCACCACAUCAUCACCCCAGAGCUCUACGACCACUUAGUGGAGUCUCUAGUGCCCUGCAUCAUCCUCCCGACGCUCGCCGGCGUCUGUCCUCGCCGCCGCCAUCCCUGUCUUCGCCGGUUGCCCCUAAUCCAACCCGUAUACUCCCGAUUGAUUGCACCCACACCUUCCCCACGACUCACUGAAGCUCGUACGCAGGUCCCCUGCC
rnacentral:lncRNA from 1 species